GGGGGGAGCAAGCGUUGUUCGGAAUCACUGGGCGUAAAGGGCGUGUAGGCGGUCAGGUAAGUGUGAUGUGAAAUCCCUCGGCUCACCCGAGGACCGGCAUCGCAUACUGCUUGGCUUGAGUACGGGAGAGGAUGUGGGAAUUCCUGGUGUAGCGGUGAAAUGCGUAGAUAUCAGGAGGAACACCGGUGGCGAAGGCGCACAUCUGGCCCGAUACUGACGCUGAGGCGCGAAAGCUAGGGGAGCAAACGGGAUUAGAUACCCCGGUAGUCCUAGCCGUAAACGGUGAUCACUAGGUGUUGGAGGCAUUGACCCCUCCAGUGCCGCAGCUAACGCAUUAAGUGAUCCGCCUGGGGAGUACGGCCGCAAGGUUGAA
rnacentral:rRNA from 1 species